rnacentral:rRNA from 1 species
AUGGAGGCCGCGAUUGCAUGGCUGCUGCAAGCCAUCCUUGCAACACUCCUGAUAGAUAAACUCGAUGCGUGGAUUCGACGAGUCGGGCUUGCCGAUGAUGUUGAAAAGCUCAAGUCGGGGAUCAGGGGCAUCAAGAUGGUGGUCUCUGCUGUGAAGGAGAGGGGGAUCAGGAACGAGUCGCUGGAUGAAUCUCUCGCUCUUCUCAAGGAUCUGCUCUACGAUGCCGACGAUGUGGUCGACGAACUCGACUGCUACAGGCUCCAAGAGCAAGUUCAUGGAGGUGGAGUUACAAGGGACGAGCCAGUCGAUGAGAUAUCAAUGGGGGAUGCUGACACACUGAAUAGCAGUGGUGGCACAUUACGGUCCGAGGUAUGGAAACACUUUACGAUCACAGAAAAGGAUAACGGAAAGCUUAACAAAGCAAUAUGUAGACACUGUGACAGUGAGUUUAACUGUGAUACGAAGACCAACGGUACAACAUCUAUGAGAAAACAUUUGGAGAAAGAACAUUCCGUAACUUUUAUGAAAAAAUCUGGAGCACAUCCACCAAACUCUUCAAGCACUGAUGAGCCUAUUGUAAUUGGCAAAUCAUCCAGGAAAAGAAACAAACGUUGGUCCAAUGCAUGGGAUACUUUUGAUGUUAUUAUAGAAGAAGAAAACGGAAAGCCAAUCAAGCAAGAUGUAAAUACUGCCUCACAGAGAUCAAGUGCCGGGCAAACACCGGGACAUCAGGUAUGCUCAACCAUUGUAAGAUUUGUAAGAAGAAACCUGGACCAAAUGACCAGACACCAAACCUAUCAAGCACGGGUGAUGCUAUUGCAAUUCCGACACCUAUUGUAA